rnacentral:rRNA from 1 species
GCAGGCUGNAACCCGCCUGCAUGAAGCCGGAAUCGCUAGUAAUCGCGGAUCAGAAUGCCGCGGUGAAUACGUUCCCGGGUCUUGUACACACCGCCCGUCACACCAUGGGAGUCGGGAAUGCCCGAAGUCAGUGGCCCAACCGGAAGGGGGAGCUGCCGAAGGCAGGCCCGGUGACUGGGGUGAAGUCGUAACAAGGUAGC